GCAUGGUCAUGGAUAUAAAUUGGGUGGCAAAGAAGGCAAUGGAUGACCCAACCUAGCUCAACAAUCUCUUUUGCUUUCACCAAGUCAUAAGAUGGGGAGGAAGAAGAAGGGAAGGAUGAAGCACUUGGAUUCAGGGGAGCAUACCUUCCUCUGGUCCCACAAACAAGAGGACGGCAUGAAUUGAAGCUAAAGAGGCAAGUCAUUUGGGCAAAGGGAAGGCUAAGCCUUUCUACCAGAUCUCUCUCUCUCUCUCUCUCUCUCUCCUUUCCCCUUGUGUGUGUUUGUGUGUGGAUUUAUGGAUCAGUUUCUCUUUAUGCCUACUAUCAAGGAAAAGUUGUUUUAGUUGGGGAGCAUUUAAAGCACACGUUCUUCUUGAGAUGGGGUGGGGUUGGUGGGCGUCCUGGGAUUUCUUGUUGCAGAAAAUCUGUAUCCGUACCGCAUUGCAAUGUAUCGUUGCUCGCUUUGUGUGAUCUAUUUGGCUUCAUUGUUAUGAUAAAAAACGUUGGAGUGUUCCG
rnacentral:lncRNA from 1 species